UUAUAGCGUAAAAGCAAAAUAAAUUCUUACAUACCGUAAUACAGAUAACCAAAGUAUAGAAUUUAAUUUACAGUGACACGUGGGCCCACGAAUGACCAAAAGUAUAAAAAGAAAUGAACCUACAGUCUUUGGAUGUGGCAAGUUCAACUGUAAUCCUCGCCGAUAUCAGUUAUCUACAAUUUAUUCUGAGCCUGAAAUGGGUGAAAAUGAGGGUGGUGAGAUUAUAAAAUCCCAGUGAGUAAACAAACAUCACUCAAAAUAUCUAAAGUCGAGUAAAAUGAGACUAUUAAAACAUUUCAUCAAACUGUAAUUUAUCAUCUUUCAACUUAUUUCAACCAAAUGAAAUCAAUUUAUUUAAAGCAAGUAAUCAGUAUGGCUUAUGAAUUUCUUAAAAAGCUUGGCUCAUGCCAAAAAUUAUUAUCAUACUCAGUUAUCUGGGAUACCUUGGCCGAGGGCUAUCCCAACUGAGUCCGCCAAGGCUAUUAGAAAGUCAUGUUUUUAUUUUGAAAACAUAGCCAUUCCUUGGCGUUGGCCGAGUUCCCCUUCACGUGGUGGUUUGGCGUGAAGUGAACUCUAAAAGUUAUACCUCAGGAGUUACCCUACUCGCCUCUCCAACCGAGGUAAAAAUAUAACAGGAUUCCGUGCCCCUCUAAUAGGCUAGUCCACAGAAUCCAGCCCACUGCAGCAGGUCAAACCCACCAUACAAUAAAAUUUUGACAGCAUGACAGGGCUAAUAUAUUACUACCCAGCCUGCAAGGGUAAAAUAAAGCAAUUCAUAUAAUUCAUAAAAAACACAGCCCAGCCAGUCAUGCCAAUACAAUAACAUAAGCCAUUAAUUCAAUUUUAAAUUUACAACAUAUCAGUGGUCUCCAAUUACUCUAUUUUCAAAAUCGUUAUUUCGUUUCAAGACAAUUUAUAAAAUAUUUUCAUUUAAACUCAUUUUGUUUACAAAACAUAAAAAUUUACCAUUUGAACUCAUUUUCAUAAAAUUCACCAAAACCGAAUAAAAACAUACUUUAGAUAAUUAAAAUGAUGGUAAGGUUACUCACCGUGUCUAGAGUGAGGAUUUUCGAAAUACUCAGACUAUUGGUCCUCGGGUGCAAUUCCCUUGCCUUUAUCAGAGGACUCACCACCUUGACACAGUACAAAAUCGAGAAAUUCACCACAUUGGUACUAAAUUGAAAUUAAACUAAUUUAGACUACUAAUGCUUGAUAUGGAAUGCAAAAAUGUCUAAAUUUUUGCCUAAAUGCGGUGUUAGCCUAUUUCGGUCUUUUACCCGAUAAAUUGAUAUACGCGUCCGUUUAAACUCCAAAUUAAUUUUUUUCAGUUUCUAUACCUCAAUUGCACCCAAAUUGACUUAAUGUCCCUCAGUGUGGUGCAAAUUAUCAGUCCCGAUAACAAAUUACGAAAAUACCCCUAGUGGGUAAAAAUUUGUAUUUUUGCUCCGAAAAUUUCCAUUAUUUUUCUAGGCUCAUAAUUCAUCAUUAUUCAUCAUAAUUCCUCAAAUAAACAUCAAGAUCAGCAGCCAAUAUUCCCCUAGAAAAUUCAGCAUAAUGGGUUUCAAUGGGAGAAAAUUAUAUCUCUAGCUUAUUUUUGCUAUAUUUCAAUAUAACUUAACUAAAAUCACUUAAUUCAAUUAAAAUCAACCAAAAAUCAAGCUCAAAACUCAUCCAUGGAGGUUUGGCCAGCAUGGGUGUCCAUACCCACUUUCUAAUUUUGCAUGGAAAUGAGAAAAAAAUGCAUGGGUAGUGAAAAUCACAAGGAAAAUCAAUGAAAUUUACCUUUUUAAUGCUUG
rnacentral:lncRNA from 1 species